GUUCGAUUAUGGCUCAGAUUGAACGCCAGGAUGCUUUACACAUGCAAGUCGAACGGCAGCACGGACUUCGGUCUGGUGGCGAGUGGCGAACGGGUGAGUAAUGUAUCGGAACGUGUCAGUAGCGGGGAUAACUACGCGAAAGUAUAAUACUGCAUACGCCCUUUGUGGCGCCGGGGACCUUCGGGCCUCGCACUAUUAGAGCGGACACGAUAUCGGAUUAGCUAGUUGGUGGGGUAACGGCUCACCAAGGCGACGAUCCGUAGCUGGUUUGAGAGGACGACCAGCCACACUGGGACUGGAGACACGGCCCAGACUCCUACGGAGGCAGCAGGGGGAAUUCUUGACAAUGGGGAACCCCUGAUCCAGCCAUCCGGGGCGUGCGAUGAAGGCCUCGGUUGAAAGCACUUUGGCAGAAGAAACGGCACGGGAUAAUACCUCCCGUGCAACUGACGGUACCAGAAUAAGCACUGGCUAACUACGUGCCAGCAGCCGCGUAAUACGUAGGUGCAAGCGUUAAUCGGAAUUUUGGCUGGCGUAAAGCGCGCAGGCGGUUCGGAAAGAAAGAUGUGAAAUCCCAGAGCUUAACUUUGGAACUGCAUUUUUAACUAUCAGAGCUAGAGUGUGUCAGAGGGAGGUGGAAUUCCGCGUAGCAGUGAAAUGUGUAGAUAUGCGGAGGAACACUGAUGGCGAAGGCAGCCUCCUGGGAUAACACCGACGUCACAUGCACGAAAGCGUGGGAGUAAACAGAUUAGAUACCCCGGUAGUCCACGCUCUAAACGAUGUCAACUAGCUGUUGGGGCCUUCGGGCUCGGUAGCGCAGCGACCGCGAAGCUGACCGCCUGGGGAGUACGGUCGCAAGAUUGGGAACCCAAAGGAAUUGACGGGGACCCGCACAAGUGGAUGAUGUGGAUUAAUUCGAUGCAACGCGAAAACCUUACCUACCCUUGACAUGUCUGAAUCCCGAAGAGAUUUGGGAGUGCUCGUAGUGAUAACCGAACACAGGUGCUGCCGUCGUCAGCUCGUGUCGUGAGAUGUUGUUGUCCCGCAACGAGCGCAAACUCCUUGUCAUUAGUUGCCGAAAGGGCACUCUAAUGAGACUGCUGGUGACAAACCGGAGGAAGGUGAUGACGUCGUCCUCAUGGUUCUUGCGGUAGGCUUCUCAAGCACGUCAUACAAUGGUCGGGACAGAUGGUCGCCAACCCGCGAGGGGAGCCAAUCCCAGAAACCCGAUCAGUCCGAUCGCAGUCUGCAACUCUCAUCUGGUGAAGUCGGAAUCGCUAGUAAUCGCGGAUCAGCAUGUCGCGGUGAAUACGUUCCUGGUCUUGUACACCGCCCGUCACACCAUGGGAGUGGUUUUACCAGAAGUAGUUAGCCUAACCGUAAGGAGGGCGAUUACCACGGUAGGAUUCAUGACUGGGGUGAAGUCGUAACAAGGUAAACUCCUGUUACUACCU
rnacentral:rRNA from 1 species